rnacentral:rRNA from 1 species
UUGCCUACGGGACGCAGCAGUGAGGAAUAUUGGUCAAUGGCCGGAAGGCUGAACCAGCCAAGCCGCGUGAAGGACGAAGGUGCCAAGCAUUGUAAACUUCUUUUGUCAAGGGACAAAAUCAGGCUCGAGAGCCUGACCGAGGGUACUUGAAGAAAAAGCAUCGGCUAACUCCGUGCCAGCAGCCGCGGUAAUACGGAGGAUGCGAGCGUUAUCCGGAUUUAUUGGGUUUAAAGGGUGCGUAGGCGGGCUGUUAAGUCAGCGGUAAAAGCCCGGGGCCCAACCCCGGCGAGCCGUUGGGACUGGCG